AAGUCGUAACAAGGUCUCCGUAGGUGAACCUGCGGAGGGAUCAUUACAAGAACGCCCGGGCUUCGGCCUGGUUAUUCAUAACCCUUUGUUGUCCGACUCUGUUGCCUCCGGGGCGACCCUGCCUUCGGGCGGGGGCUCCGGGUGGACACUCCAAACUCUUGCGUAACUUUGCAGUCUGAGUAAACUUAAUUAAUAAAUUAAAACUUUUAACAACGGAUCUCUUGGUUCUGGCAUCGAUGAAGAACGCAGCGAAAUGCGAUAAGUAAUGUGAAUUGCAGAAUUCAGUGAAUCAUCGAAUCUUUGAACGCACAUUGCGCCCCCUGGUAUUCCGGGGGGCAUGCCUGUUCGAGCGUCAUUUCACCACUCAAGCCUCGCUUGGUAUUGGGCAACGCGGUCCGCCGCGUGCCUCAAAUCGUCCGGCUGGGUCUUCUGUCCCCUAAGCGUUGUGGAAACUAUUCGCUAAAGGGUGUUCGGGAGGCUACGCCGUAAAACAACCCCAUUUCUAAGGUUGACCUCGGAUCAGGUAGGGAUACCCGCUGAACUUAA
rnacentral:rRNA from 1 species